CUGUGGAGCAGUGGUGUUGCAAUGGUUGUGUGUGCUGGUGCCGCCGGCAACCACUGCGACUCCGCUGCUCCGCAG
rnacentral:pre_miRNA from 1 species